ACUACAAACAUUUCCUGCCACUUAAAUCACCGCUGACAAGAUGGGCUUUUAAUAAAAGCUGGCCGUCUAUGCAAUAAAAAAACACUUAAAAAAAAAAAAAAAAACUAGACUAGAGAAUACAAAAAUGCACACAAGUAUAAUCUGUAGUUUUCAGACUUUUGUUAACAAUUAAACGGGGAUUUCUUGUAUAGGUCUCACUGAUAAAGAAUAUACAUUGUGCAUUUACUUAUACUACUGAUAUUGUUACAGUGCAAAGUUGGUUGGAAAUCGGCAAACUUACCCUGUAAAAAUGAAAUAGUCCAUAACAAUAAUGCAACUGUGAAUGCCAAGCACUGGCUAAUAAUUUCACUUAUGCUUUAACAUGAUUAUUAUUGCUUUUUUUGCUGUUUGAAGGCCUCAUAUCAAGACCAGUCAAGUGUGUUUUGAAGUAAAAGAGGCUGAUGUUCUAUUAAAACGUAAAAUUUGUCCAAAACAUUAAAUGUGAGUGAACCUCAGAGAAAAGAUCAAAUACAAAUAAUAAUGUAUAUGUUUCCUUUAACACAUACUUUCUGUUCAAUUACACUUUACAUCAUUAUGUUUGACUUUUCACAUGCAAAAAACCUCAUAUAUUACAUAAAACAGAAACACCAUAUAAUCUAAAACCUUUGGUUUCGAAGCUCCAGAAUCUCACACAUAACAGAGUACAACAAAACACACUUACCCUGGCCUAGAGGAAGAAAUUCCUUACAUGUAUGGGGAUGAUGAACGGCUGUGAGACCGGAACGCUUCCUCUGGAGGGGAUAGAGAUGCCAGAGUAAUGGAAGACCGCGGCCAGAGCUUCUCCCUCCGGCUAAUGGGCCAGAAACCACAGUCUCAUUUUUAACAGACCUUUUGUCGCCCCGCUUCGGGCUCCUUGAGGAAACAAAUAAUGACUCCUUGGCUCACCCUAACGAUCCACAUUAACGGAUCCGGAACGUUCCUUCACAUGUAAAGCUGAUCUGCGCGAACGCUUCGUGACUGAUUCAUGAGGUUCAAACUGUGACGUUUAGAGCGCUGGAGGCCAUGAUGUUCAUGAACAAAAGAUGAAAAUCUUUCACGUUAAAAAUGAUUCACAGCUUAUUCACAUUCUUGGGAAGCUACACCGUGAGCAGCUUGAUGCGGAAC
ensembl:lncRNA